CGACCGGCGCACGGGUGAGUAACGCGUAUGCAACCUACCUUCAACAGGGGGAUAACCCGGAGAAAUCCGGACUAAUACCGCAUAACACAGGUGUCCUGCCUGGGACUAUCUGUUAAAGAUUAUCGGUUGAAGAUGGGCAUGCGUUCCAUUAGAUAGUUGGUAAGGUAACGGCUUACCAAGUCAGCGAUGGAUAGGGGAACUGAGAGGUUUGUCCCCCACACUGGAACUGAGACACGGACCAG
rnacentral:rRNA from 1 species